AGUUGCUAAUACCGCAUAAGUCAGCGGCGCCUACGGGCGCUGUUGGGAAAGACGGCCUCUCCUUGGAAGCUGUCACCGGAAGAUGAGCCCGCGUCCCAUCAGCUAGUUGGUGAGGUAAUGGCUCACCAAGGCAAAGACGGGUAGCUGGUCUGAGAGGAUGAUCAGCCACACUGGGACUGCGACACGGCCCAGACUCCUACGGGAGGCAGCAGUGGGGAAUAUUGGGCAAUGGGCGAAAGCCUGACCCAGCCACGCCGCGUGAGUGAUGAAGGCCUUCGGGUCGUAAAGCUCUGUGGGGAGGGACGAACAAGCCUGGGGCUAAUCACCCGGGCCCUGACGGUACCUCCUUAGCAAGCACCGGCUAACCCUGUGCCAGCAGCCGCGGUAA
rnacentral:rRNA from 1 species